GACGAACGCUGGCGGUGUGCUUCACACAUGCAAGUCGAACGAGGUAGCAAUACCUAGUGGCGGACGGGUGAGUAACGCGUGGGAAUCUGCCUUUAGAUGGGGGAUAACGGGUCGAAAGACUCGCUAAUACCGCAUAUGACGAAAGUUGAAAGGAGUAAUCCGUCUAAAGAUGAGCCCGCGUCCGAUUAGCUAGUUGGUAGAGUAAAAGCCUACCAAGGCGACGAUCGGUAGCUGGUCUGAGAGGAUGAUCAGCCACAAUAGGGACUGAGACACGGCCCAUACUCCUACGGGAGGCAGCAGUGGGAAUUUUACGCAAUGGGCGAAAGCCUGACGUAGCGACACCGCGUGAGCGAAGAAGCCCCUUGGGGUGUAAAGCUCUGUCAGCUGGAACAAAAAAAAUGACGGUACCAGCAGAGGAAGCAUCGGCUAACUACGUG
rnacentral:rRNA from 1 species